rnacentral:tRNA from 1 species
AAUGAUUGGGCGGGAAUCGAACCCUGGCCGCACGCGUGGCAGGCGAGCAUUCUACCACUGAACCACCGAUGC